GUUUGUAGCUUAGUGGAUAAAAGCGUACACUUCCGAAGUGUAAAAACGGGGGUUCGAUUCCCCCCAA
rnacentral:tRNA from 1 species